rnacentral:rRNA from 1 species
UACGAAGGGGGCUAGCGUUGUUCGGAAUCACUGGGCGUAAAGCGCACGUAGGCGGACGCUUAAGUCAGGGGUGAAAUCCCGAGGCUCAACCUCGGAACUGCCUUUGAUACUGGGUGUCUUGAGUCCGGAAGAGGUGAGUGGAACUGCGGGUGUAGCGGUGAAAUUCGUAGAUAUUCGCAAGAACACCAGUGGCGAAGGCGGCUCACUGGUACAGAACUGACGCUGAGGUGCGAAAGCGUGGGUAGCAAACAGG